rnacentral:rRNA from 1 species
UGCAAGUCGAACGCAGUAGCAAUACUGAGUGGCAGACGGGUGAGUAACAUGUGGGAAUCUGCCUUGUGGUUCAGGACAACAUUGGGAAACCGAUGCUAAUACUGGAUAAGCCCUUACGGGGAAAGUUUUAAUGCCAUAAGAUGAGCCCGCAUUUGAUUAGUUAGUUGGUGAGGUAAUGGCUCACCAAGACAAUGAUCAAUAGCUGAUCUGAGAGGAUGAUCAGCCACACUGGGACUGAGACACGGCCCAGACUCCUACGGGAGGCAGCAGUGGGGAAUCUUGCACAAUGGAGGAAACUCUGAUGCAGCGAUGCCGCGUGAGUGAAGAAGGCCUUUGGGUUGUAAAGCUCUUUUGUAGGGGAAGAUAAUGACUGUACCCUAAGAAUAAGGUCCGGCUAACUUCGUGCCAGCAGCCGCGGUAGUACGAAGGGACCUAGCGUAGUUCGGAAUUACUGGGCGUAAAGCGCGCGUAGGCCGUUGAGUUAGUUAAUUGUGAAAUCCCAAAGCUUAACUUUGGAACUGCAAUUAAAACUGCUCGACUAGAGUUUGAUAGAGGAAAGCGGAAUACAUAGUGUAGAGGUGAAAUUCGUAGAUAUUAUGUAGAACACCAGUUGCGAAGGCGGCUUUCUGGAUCACACUGACGCUGAGGCGCGAAAGUAUGGGUAGCAAAGAGGAUUAAAUACCCUCGUAUCCAUACCAUA